rnacentral:lncRNA from 1 species
CUUCAAGAUAAGAGUUGCAGAAAGUGGGUGGUAGUAUAAAUCAAGAUUGGUUAUGAGUUGAGAAUUUUUGAGUAAUAGGUAUAUGGGGACUAAGUAUUCUAUUCUUCAUACUUUUACAUGCCGUAAAUCCCCACUUAUCUGCAGGGAAUGUGUUCCAAGACCCCCAGUGGAUGCCUGAAACUGAGAAUAGUACUGGACCCUGUAUAUACUGUGUUUUUUCUUUCCUUAUUGAGAACUUUUAUGUUUUCACUUAAAGGAAGGACUUUACAGCUUCUCUUUCGCAUAUCCAAAUUGCCAGCAUCACCGCUCUUGCACUCCAAGCCAUUAUUAAGUAAAGUAAAGAACACAAACACUGUGAUACUGCUACACUUGAUCUGAUAACCAAGAAGUCUACUAAGUGACUAACAGGUGGGUAGCAUAUACAGCAUAGAUACACUGGACAAAGGGAGGACUCACAUCCUGGGCAAGAUGGAGCAGAAUGGCAGAGUUCAUCAUGCUGCUCAAAAUGAUGUGCAAUUUAAAACUAAUGAAUUAUUUCUGGAAUUUUUCAGUUAAUAUUUUUGGACAUGAGGUGACUGCAGUUAACUAAAACCAUGGAAAGCAAACCCAUAGAUAAAGGGAUACUAUGAGCAACUGGGAACCUAAUUCUGACCAAAAAGGAGGAAUUGUUUGGCUAAUUGGAAGUGACAGAAACCUUGGGAGAAAGCAACCGCAUACCAAGGAUAAUUAUAAGAAGGUAACAUGGGCCCUAAAGGAUAGUGUCAAGAAACCUGAAACCCCCAAAUGAGGUGAGACUUGCAAAAAAUGCUAAGGAAGGACAAAAAACAGGCCUUUUAAAAUUCUGUUCAGAACCAGAAGAUGAUCAAGAAAGGGAAAUGCCCACUAGCAGCUUCUACUGUAAGGUUAGAGCUGACAGAGAAAGAACUCCUUAACUACUAUUUGCUUCAUUCUCUACAAAGGAAACUAGAGAAGUGGGUUGAUGUAAUAGAAAGAACAUGUGUUUGUGGGGCCAGGCAAACCUGGGUUUAAUUCUGUUUCAACACUGCUUAACAAAAUUUAUGGGAGGCUAUUGUUUUGGAUUGGGCUCCUGCACCAGGCCCCUCCGGACCAAACCAAAAUGGAGUCACUCAUACUAAAACUCCAGGUCACUGAACCAAAACUAAGUUGUUUAUCUGACCUUCCAAGAAAUCAGGAGGGAGAAAACAACCAAAUCUCCAAACAGGCCAGUUUUAAUCAGCGUGAUAAGGAAGUCCUCUCUUUUUUAACCCUAUAAAGAAAGUAACUUUUUGAAAUGAUCAAUACACUUUGUAUUCCUUAGUUCUGCUUUCUUUAGCCCCUUUCUGCCUAUAAAGCCCACUUCCUCUGCUCAACUUACUGAAGCAGUAUUCCAUUUUAUAGAAUGAGAUGCUGCCCAAUUCUGGAAUCACUAAUAAAAGCCAAUUAGAUCUUUACAUUUGUUGAAAUUUUGUCUUUGACAACAUUACUAGUUAUAUUAUUCUGGGUAUCCUUUUCCCCAUCUGUAAAAUGGACAUAGCGAUAUCCUUCCCAUCAGAUUUUUCUCAUUAAUAGAAGUAAUACAUUCAAAACACUGAGCCAGGCUCACACCAGUGAGCAACUUGUUAAUAUUACUCAGAAGCAUAUUAUAGAUAUUGACAGAAAGCAAUACUGUUCCUAAUUAGGGGAAGAAAUUCUAAGAGAGUACCUAAGAGUUUGAAUUUAGAUUAUAACAUUUGCUCUGAGUAUUUUACAUUACAGCCUUUGGGGGGAAAAGUACAAAUGAGAUCUGAGAACAGUGGUACUCAUCUUUGAGGAAUUAUGGAAAACGUAAUAGAACACUAAACAUGGGAAAACAUCGGCCUUCAGGUUGAAAAGUGG